rnacentral:lncRNA from 1 species
GGCGCCCUUCAGCGGACACCUGGGACUUGCAGUGUUAUGUGCCCAGGGAUUUUCCUGGACGGGAUUGUGAAGUAGCGGGACAGUGGGUCAUUGUGUAUGUACAGAAGUGAUGUGGAUUCCUCCCAGACUCAUUAGUGACCAGGGCUGCUGGGCCUGUUUGGGUUUCCUAGACUAGAGAAGAAGACAGGAACCAGGAUGGGAAGACGGACAUGUUACAUUUUAAGCUGGAGCUUCCCCUGCAGUCCACGGAGCACGUUCUCGGUGUGCAGCUCAUCCUGACUUUCUCCUAUCGAUUACACAGGAUGGCGACCCUCGUGAUGCAGAGCAUGGCGUUUCUCCAGUCCUCCUUUCCUGUCCCGGGAUCCCAGUUAUACGUGAACGGAGACCUGAGGCUGCAGCAGAAGCAGCCGCUGAGCUGUGGUGGCCUAGAUGCCCGAUACAAUGUAAGGGCGCUUCUCAUUGUCCA